GAGCACUGUUCGUGACCUGGCAGCCUAGCUGUGGCUGUUGGGUUCCAUUCCGGUGCCACAGCAUCACCAUUGGCCUCAAGCAGCUGGCUGUCUGUGGGGCUUCCAGUUUGGGGUCUUGGAGACAACA